rnacentral:tRNA from 1 species
AAGGAUUUAAGUUAAAUAAACUAUUAACCUUCAAAGUUAAAAAUGGGAAUUCCCUAAGCCUUA